AUUGAACGCUGGCGGCAUGCCUUACACAUGCAAGUCGAACGGCAGCACGGGAGCUUGCUCCUGGUGGCGAGUGGCGAACGGGUGAGUAAUGCAUCGGAACGUACCCGGAAGGGGGGGAUAACGUAGCGAAAGUUACGCUAAUACCGCAUAUUCUGUGAGCAGGAAAGAGGGGGAUCGCAAGACCUCUCGCUUUCGGAGCGGCCGAUGUCGGAUUAGCUAGUUGGUGGGGUAAAGGCCUACCAAGGCGACGAUCCGUAGCGGGUCUGAGAGGAUGCGCCGCCGAACUGGAACUGAGACACGGUCCAGACUCCUACGGGAGGCAGCAGUGGGGGAUUUUGGACACUGGGCGAAAGCCUGAUCCAGCCAUGCCGCGUGAGUGAAGAAGGCCUUCGGGUUGUAAAGCUCUUUCGGCUGAAAAGAAAUCGCACAGGCUAAUACCUUGUGUGGAUGACGGUAUCAGCAUAAGAAGCACCGGCUAACUACGUGCCAGCAGCCGCAGUAACAC
rnacentral:rRNA from 1 species